rnacentral:rRNA from 1 species
AGUUCAAUCGCAAUGGCUUGAACCGGGUAAAAGUCGUAACAAGGUAUCUGUAGGUGAACCUGCAGAUGGAUCAUCG